UCGUCGUCGGUGGCGGCGGCGGCGACGGUUGGGGCCUGAACCUCGCCGGGCCGAGACAAGUUGGGGUGAAAGGAGGGAAGGCGGCCGAGGUUGGCAAGGCAGGCGAGCCCCGGCGGCAGCCGUGCAGCAGAAGCCCGCCCAGUGGGUCCGGUCUUGUGGGCCAGGCCUCCCCACUCCAGCAGGGCGCCUUCCUCACCAGAUUUAAUCACCCGUAAAAGGAAACUUCCACAAUCCAGGCAGAUGAUGAUCAAUUGAUAUAUCAACCUGAAUUUUACCAGACUUUAAGCAGCGGAAAGAAUGUCGGCGCGGGCCGUGGGUGACGUCAGAGGGGAGCAACGCAGAGCGGCGGUGGGGGCGG